UUGUCCACGUUGGCCAUGGACAGGCGGCUGCACUUGUCUGUGAUAACCUCGUGCUGAUCGCAUGUCCCUGUGACAGUGACAAUGUAUUCGGAUGUCUGCCCUAUCAACUUUCAAUGCAAUUUUCCACGCCUACCAUGGUGACCACGGGUAACUGGGAAUCAGGGUUUGAUUCCAGAGAGGGAGUCUGAGAAACUGCUACCACAUGCAAGGAAGGCAGCAGGCGCUCAAAUUACCCACUCCCGAUGCAGGGAGCUAGUGAUGACAA